rnacentral:rRNA from 1 species
UACGUAGGGGGCAAGCGUUAUCCGGAAUCACUGGGUGUAAAGGGAGCGUAGACGGUUGUGCAAGUCUGGAGUGAAAGGCGGGGGCCCAACCCCCGGACUGCUCUGGAAACUGUGUAACUGGAGUGCAGGAGAGGCAGGCGGAAUUCCUGGUGUAGCGGUGAAAUGCGUAGAUAUCAGGAGGAACACCGGUGGCGAAGGCGGCCUGCUGGACUGUAACUGACGUUGAGGCUCGAAAGCGUGGGGAGCAAACAGG